GGGUCAGCAGCAUUGAGAAGUUCACUAAUGAGCCUUUUCUGUCGUCUUUUGUGCUGUUUUCCAACCCCAUAAUAACAGAUACCUCACUGAGAAGCCAAACAGUAUAAUGCGACAAGAAAGAGGGGGAGAGUGUUUGGAAGGCACAUGACAUUUUCCAUGAAACCGGUUCCAAUCCACAACACUGAAGAUGCAUCAGGACUGCGUGGGCUUGGACCAUGUCUCACUCUCUGCACCGUCUUAGAAGAAAUGCUGGAUAAAGAAGAAGAAGCUGACAGCCUGAACAGGUGGAAGGUAUCCUGUCCCUGGAAACACCAGAAAACAACUUCUCCUAUUUUAAAGUUCUGCCUGUAAACUUACAGAUGACACGAAGACACUGAGAUACAAACUUGAACACAGAUGCAGAUGCAUGCUUACAGUGAAUUGAAUAUUUCCAAUAUUUGUGAUUUUACAGUAUCAUAUGGAUGUAAUUAUUUAGUUAAAUCUUUACAUGAAUACUUAAAAACAGUUUUGCUUGUAGCACUAAGCCCACAGAGAAAUAUCGCCGGACUCUGUAGUUCCCCUCAACUCUAUCAGUGUUUAGUUUCCAGCCCCGUCACUGCUCUUAUCAGCAUUGUUUUUAGCUCCAACAGGCAAUUUUAUUCAGCCUUAAAAACCCACUGUGGUCUACCUGUUCAGCACACAGCCAGCAAGUUAGCAAGAAACAUAACUAGCUGGUGAACACAUUCCCUCAGGAGAACAAAAUAGAUAUAGAAUAGAGUCAGCAUUGGACCUGCAUUUGCCAGGUGUCCCAAAACACAACUUCAAAUGAAAACUAAUGUCACUCCAUAUCUGUUAGACGUGUAAACAAGGCAUUUCUCAUGAUUUUUUCAUUCACAGCUUAUAAGCUAAUCAAACAUAUUUCAAAUAUACUGGUGUUUAAAUCACAAAAAGGGUGAGUUUGUGGAAAGUGACACUUUUCACUGACACAAUGAUUACUCUGAUGCUGUGAGGCUACAAAAUGUACCAAAGAAAUCAUCUGAAAGAACAAACAACUUAAAAAAAAAAGACAGACUCCAGCUUCAUAAUGGUUUCAGGAAAAAUACCACUAUAACCUCAUCAUCCUCUUAUCAUCUCUGCCAUUGUUAUAAGUUGAAUAUAAUGAUCUUGUAGUGAAUAAUUAAAAUUUUAAUUCCUUCAUUGUUUAAUUGAGCUAAUUGGGAAUCAGCUGAGCAGGAUUACUGUAGACAUUAAUCAAUAACAUCCUGUUACAAUCCUCUCUCCAUGAAAUUAAGAGGCUCUAGUAAUUGCCUGCAUGGUCUCCUAUAUCUAGCGAUACAUGCUAAUUGGUGCUAGUGACCUUAAACAUGGUGAAAUUCUCCACUAAUAGCAUUAUUAUUAUUGUUAAGGCACACAAGUGAGUGUCUGUGUCGCUCAGUUAAUUAAAACAACCAGUUAUUAUAGUUAUCAUAAAACUAUUAUGUCUUCCAAAUUGUGCCUGACUCUUUGUUUCUCUCCGACACUGUGUGAAUAAACCAAAAUGUCACACAUUUAAAAAGUCAACAGGUUGGUGGAGUUAGAAAUAAUUUAUUGAUCCCACACAUGUACAAGUAGCAUAGCUUGGAAAGUGCAGAUUUGAUUCAAUGCUGAGAAAAAGGUUGCAGGUGAGACAUACAUUUUAGCUGUGUGUGUGUAUGUGUGUUAGGAUUAGAUUUAGUGUUAUGUGACAUAGAUAAUGCUAAAUUUAAACUGUAUAUACUGAAUAUCUGUACUGGUCCAACCACAAUCAUCCCGCAAAUGCAGGACCUUCUGAAAUAGUACAUUUCAAAUUAAACUCCACAUUUACCAUCUGUUUCAUGAUCACACAGUUCUCUUCCUUCUCUACCUUCCAAGCUUUGUUUUUUUCUUUCUCACUGGAUGAAAAUAGAGAACAAUAAGGGAACAAACGAGGGAGAACUUAUGGGUAAAUCUGGAGGACAGAUGGGGAAUUAGAGAGAAACUGGACCAGCAAGGGAAUGUAAGAACCAAGGAGGGAAGAAAAUGAGGCAUGAAAAAAUGGCAUAAGAGGAAAUGAAAUGAGAGGAAAAAGAAGAGGAGUCUGGAUACAUCAUAAAUACAUUAUAUAUCAGGUUUUAUAGACUCAUGAUCACACAUUUGCAUAACUUAUAAAGUUAGUGGGGGUUUCCAGUUUGCUGGUUUACUCACCAAAACAAGAAUCAAAGUGACGUUGCAUUACAGUAGAUGAAAUAUACAGUCCAUAGGUCUGAGUAUGGGACACACUACACCGUCCAGGAUACAUGUGCAUUUACAAAGUCAGCAGAGGGGCUCAUGGUUAUACACUGUAUAACCAUUUCUUGUAAGCAAAUAAAACCAUUCACAGGAUCCCUGCCCCAGACAAUUAAUUGAAAUAAAUCAGUUUUAGAUUGUGAUAAAAUCACAGAAAAUCUGAGCAGAAAUGUGAUGCCACCCACAGACUUCUCAAUUAGGCUCAGGUUUUCAAGAAGCAAAUCCUUGGCUUGUAAUCAGCCAUUAAUCAUGACUUCCUUUUAUAAAUGAGCUCUAAAGGAGGGAGGUGAUGAUCGGCAGAAGAGAGGAAAGAAAACACAGAGUUAGAAAUCCAAGUGAGAGGAAGGGAUAUACAAAGAGGAAAAGGGAAAAAACAAAUGGCAUGUCACAUUACCAGGGUUACAUCUACAGUGAUGGAUCACUGUUAACAGCAUACUCUGGAUAUCCGUGUGGCGUGUGGGUUAUUGUUGUAUCUAUGUGGCCUAAGGGCAGUGUGCAGCGAUGGAGCACAGGGGGAUUUAUCUAUAGAAUAACAGUAUCAGUAUGUACAUCUGUCUGACGCGGGGGCCAGAGACAAACACACAGCGAGAGAAUCUGUCGUGGUUAUUUCAAAUUCUGCAGAUGGGAAAGACACAGACACUGUAUGUGGACAGAUGUGUGUAGGAGUAAGUUUGGCAGCAUUAUUUAGAUUCAGACGGGCGAAUAUCAAGAAGGGUCAUAAGCUAUAGAGAGAUUUCUCAGGAUACAAAAUGUAAAUACUGUAAAUGUUACCAGCUGCAAAGCUGUGUAUCGUUGCCAAAGGGAUUUUUAUUUGAGUUCAGGACUAUGACUUUUUUUACUACUGAAAACAGGAGAAAAGAUAGUGAUGACGUUUGUCAUAAAGCCGUAUUAGAUGACUUAUUCAUAACUUCCUUAAAAGCAUUAUUUUUGUUUUGGCAACUCUUGACUCAGUUAUUAAAAACAUUUGGUUUUCCAGAAAUCUGUUUGAAGAAAAUUAAUCAGAAGAACUUUAACAUCCAGAACCUGUAGCACUAUACGGCAGCACUAUAUAACAGUAUAUAAUUUAGUAGAGAAUAAAGAGAUACACAAGAGCUCUUACUAGAGAGGUGGAAGCAAGGAUGGAAGAGGGGAUGGAGAAAAGAAUGAGAAAUGGGUGAAGGUCAGAGAUGUUGAGGCCCGAGGGGUGAAAACAUGGCAGCACGAGAAACACAUCACAGACAUGAACAUACUGUACAUCCAGAUACAUUGGGACAGUAUAAGGUAAGAAAUGAAUGUUCUUCAUCCUGCAUCUCUCCUGCUUUAAUACUGUGGUGAUUACAGUGGCAGUUAACAAGACAGUUACUGUGAAUAAAUCAGCAUAUUGUAAACAGCCCCUUCCCUUUACUGUACUAAAUAAAAAGUUAAAAAAAAAAAAAAAA